rnacentral:lncRNA from 1 species
GUAAGAGGAUGGUUGGUUGCUGCUGUUUCUGUUUCACUGCUAUUCAGGAGGUUUUUCAGGCUCCUGAGAUUAAAAGAGUUGGUCUCUUGUGUCUUUCAUUGGAGAAGGAGUUCUAUUUAUCAGGGAGGACCUAUCCAGGAGAGAAGAAAGUGAUCUACCUUGGUGGUGACUUGUGCCAGAGCAAAACCUUCAAACCAGAAAAUCCCAACGAGGAUGCUGCUGCCACUGCACUGAGCACUGCCACAUGGCUGCAUGAGCAAUGUCCUUGCUCUAAUUAUAGUUUAGGGACCAAAAAGAGAUGUUUCCAUGUGUGUUCACACAGUCCUUGCUUGUCUAACACAGGGGCUCUUCAGGGAAGAUAGUUUCAGUGGCUGUUCUUUGCCAGCUCAGAAGUUCUUGAGUUAUUAAAUAGUAAAUAAUUUAAAUGAAUAAUGACACCAAUAGGAGAAAUCUAAAGACAAGAAAAGAAAAAAGCCAUGAAUUUGUGCCAUCUGUCCCUGGAAAUGGAGAAUGGUAGGGACAGAUACUAAGCCAUCUACAGAGAUCCUAAUUUACUCCAAGGAAAAUUUUAUAUUUUUGGGGGUCUUGGGCACGUGUGAAAAACAAGAUGAAAAUUAGUUUUGCUCCAGUGCACAGCAUUUUCUGCUUGGUUCAGAGACAGAUGCUUCAAAAAGAGAGCAGAAAACUAACCAAACCGACAUAAUUAUUUCUCAGUACCUUUUAUUUUUUUUCCUUUAAUAGUGCUCUUUUCAAAUGCUGGAAUUGUUGGGUCCUGCUCAGGUGCCAAUCGCUGCUGUCCAGGGGCCGUAGUGACAAAAUUUUAACAAACACUGUCACCUUCUGGGCACGCCGCAGCAGUGCAGCUUCCAACCAGCUAGCCUUUGUCUUCGGGUGAACUUAGCACUGAGGUACUUUGGUUUCUGUUUGCUUGUAAUUUCAUGCUUAUAAACCCUGUACGAGCAGGAUUGAAACAUUUUUUUAAAUUUUUUUUCACUUCUUGGUACAUUUAGCUACUUAAAAAUGCAAGCAAUAUGUGGUGUCCAGGGUGUUGAGCUAAUCCUACAGCCUGCUUUGAUCACGCUCCCUGAGCAAAAAGAUCUAUUGUUUCAG